UACCAGCACCCCGAGUGGUCGGGACGUUUAUUGGGCCUAAAGCAUCCGUAGCCGGUUCUACAAGUCUUCCGUUAAAUCCACCUGCUUAACAGAUGGGCUGCGGAAGAUACUAUGAGAUAGGAGGCGGGAGAGGCAAGCGGUACUCGAUGGGUAGGGGUAAAAUCCGUUGAUCCAUUGAAGACCACCAGUGGCGAAGGCGGCUUGCCAGAACGCGCUCGACGGUGAGGGAUGAAAGCUGGGGGAGCAAACCGG
rnacentral:rRNA from 1 species